rnacentral:rRNA from 1 species
GCCUAACACAUGCAAGUCGAACGGCAGCGGGGGGUAGCUUGCUACCUCGCCGGCGAGUGGCGGACGGGUGAGUAAUGCCUGGGGAGCUGCCCAAUCGAGGGGGAUACCAGUUGGAAACGACUGCUAAUACCGCAUACGCCCUGAGGGGGAAAGGUGGGGAUCUUCGGACCUACCGCGAUUGGAUGCGCCCAGGUGGGAUUAGCUAGUUGGUGAGGUAACGGCUCACCAAGGCGACGAUCUCUAGCUGGUCUGAGAGGACGACCAGCCACACUGGAACUGAGACACGGUCCAGACUCCUACGGGAGGCAGCAGUG